rnacentral:lncRNA from 1 species
GAGUUAAGUGUAAUUAAAGGGAGUUAUAGGGAGUUAAGAAAGAGAUAAGGAAGUUAAGAGAGGAGUUAAGAAAAGAAAGGAGAAAGAAAAACAGUUUUUUACGUACAAUUGAGCAAGUGGGGAGAAAAAAACAGAGAAGAACCAAGAAGCAAGAAGAGACCGAUUUUCUGUAGAGUUUUUGUGCAAAUUGAAUUCAGGUAAGGGUGAGACUAUCUCUCAAUAAUAAUAGUGUAGAAUUUCUGAAAAUUGAUCUUUCAUUAGAAUUGCUCUUGAAUUGGAGAAAAAUUGGAAAAACUAGGUGAAUUCUUGAAUUUGAAUUAAAAAGUUAUAGAACCAUGUUAAUUAUGCUUAAUUCAUGCUUGGAAUUGGUUUUAGUAAUUCAAAGUACUGCUGUUAGUCGAAUUUGGAGAGAUUAGGGUUUGAAUUGCAAUUUGAAUUGUUGUCGUAUGAUUUUGAUGAUUUUGUUUUGAGAAAUCCGUACUCAUAGUUAGUGGGUAAUUAUGUGUAUACUAAUUUUUGUUGAAUUGGUGAAUUAACAUGUUCAUAUUCAUGCUUUUGAUUCAUAAUAAGUGGUUUUAGGGAUUUUUGCUUAAAAGGAUGAAAGAUCAUGAUUAUGGUUGUUGAAUGAUGAUGAAUUCAUAAAUUGCGUCCUUGCUAUGUUAACAGGUAUAUGAAAGUGAAGAAACUAAGUUGUUAUUAUUGUUGUUGUUAUGAUAUGUUGUUAUUGAUGAUUGUUGCCAUAGGUAAUCUUAAUUAUAGAGCUUGCUAUGAAUAUAUGAUGUUCUUGGUGGUUUCAUGAAUUUAUGUUGUUAUUGAUGUUUUGUUUCAAGUUCUACAUAGUUUUAGAGUGUCUUUUAUGUAUAUAAACCUGUAAGCAAACUUUUGAAACGAAUUUGGGUGUUUAGAGAUCAAACUUUGGGUUUUUGGCUGAAAAAUUGAGCUUUCCUGAGAGUUACCUCUGACAACAUUCUCGGUUACAUGUUUUUGCGUCUUUUUCACAUGUUUUUGUUUUGAACUGGGUUUUGGUUUGACUUCAAAAUGAUUUAUAAAACUUGAGCUAUGGUCAAAUUACUGCACGUAGGUCACAGUGAAUUUCUAUGAAUUUCAGCACAACUUUCUCCGAAUUUGAAAUUAAAACUGGUAUUGAUCGGUACUGAAUUGAUCUUAGGUGUAAACAUGAAAGUCGUAGAUAAUUGUGUUAGCUUUCCAGUGCCUUUGGUUUGACUUAGAAAUGAUUUUUGGUCUUUGAGUUAUGAUGAAAAUACUCCAAGGAGGUCUUAGCGAAAUUGCAUAGUGGCAGCAUUCUCUGUUUCAUGUUCUCGCGUCUGUUUCCCAUGUUUUUGUUCUGAAUUAGUCUUUGGUAUAAACAUGAAAGAUGUUGAUAAUUAUGAUAUCUUUCAAGUAGCUUUGGUUUGGCAUGAAAAUCUGUUGUGGUUAAUUUAUUAUGAUUUUACAAAGAUGCAUGAUGAAUGUUUUGUGUUCCUUUAGAUGCCUUGUUGUAGGUAGAACAUGUAAACAUCCAUUUGAUUACGUUUUGACGUGAAUAUCUUUGUUGGAUGAUUUAAUAUCUAUAUGAAUGUAUAAGUUGAUGAAUAAGAUGAUAUAUGAUGUUGUUUGAGAUAUGAUUAAUUAUCGAUUAAUGAGACAUGUAUAUAUGAUCAUAUGAAUAUAUAUUAUGUUGUGUGAUAUAGAAAAUAUCGUUGUUUAUAUCAUUCAAGUUGUUAUUAUUAAUAUUGCUAUGUUGCAAGUUGCUUAUGUUGUUGUCCAUGGUGUUGUUGAUUAUUAAUAUCAUUAAGUUGACCAAGUUGUGGGUAAGUCAUAAUUAUUUAUGCACAGUCGUGUUGUCGUUGUCUAUUGGUGAUUGAUGGUCGUUGAGUCAUAAUGACUAGGUUGAGUGGUAUGUAGAUAUACCCGAGUUGAGUCCAUGACAUAACAUAAAAGCGGUUAGGACUUAUAUCCUGGGAUGCCUUGUCGUCCAAAAGCGGUGAGAACUUAUGUUCUGGAACGCCUUGUCGUUCAAAAUUGGUGAGGGCUUCGGUCCUGUGAAUGCUUUAACCAUUCAAACUCCGGUGAGGACUUCGGUCCUGAAUAUGGUACCACAUGCAUAUGUCUAGUUGCAUUUGUCGAGGAGUCUAGGUGGUAUCAUCAUGUCAAUGCAUGAGUCUUUGUCGGUGAUUGAACGAUACUCUAUAUGUAUAUGAUUGAAGUUGAAUAUGUUGAUGAUGAAGUGAAUAUGAAAUAUAUUUAAAUAUUGAGAUGUUGAUUAUAUUAGGGUGUUAUAUUCUUUUGAUGAAAUUUUAUACCUAUUAUUGUUGAUUUUGAAUCUCACCCAUUCUGUUUGAAUGUUGCCUCGAUCGUGGUUAACGUGCAGGUGAUUCAGAGUAGUAUAUGUGGUGGCUCAACCGUUUAGGUCUCUGAUACGUACAUGAUGGGAAUUAGUUAUUAUUGUUUUUCAUUCCUUAUGUAUCAAUUUUGGAUUACGUUGUAGAGCCUGUUUAUUAUGAUUUGGAUAAUGUUGUUGACUUUAUGAUGGGGCUUUUAGUGCCAGAACUUAUUAUUGGAUGUCAUGUAUUGAAAAUCAUUCCGCUGCAAAUUGUUGGUUGUUUAUUAAAUAGUAUUUUAUCUAUUUAAGAAAUUUUGAAAAUGCAGUGUAAUACUCCGUUCGUGUUGAACUCUGAUCAAUUAUUAUAUUUAUUAUUUUUGGGAUAGCGGGGUGUUACAAUUAUAAUUUACAUGAAUUUCAGGAAACUGAAAAAGAAAAAAAAAUAAAGAAGGAGGCAUAAGUGGAUAGUAAGAAAGCAAAAGGAGGAACAUGUUCUAACGAGAAUCUUGAAGACUCUAGACGUUUUAUUUUUAUUCCUUGAG